rnacentral:rRNA from 1 species
UAGUCCACGCCGUAAACGAUGUCUACUAGCCGUUGGGAGACUUGAUUUCUUAGUGGCGCAGCUAACACACUAAGUAGACCGCCUGGGGAGUACGGCCGCAAGGUUAAAACUCAAAUGAAUUGACGGGGGCCCGCACAAGCGGUGGAGCAUGUGGUUUAAUUCGAUGCAACGCGAAGAACCUUACCGAGGCUCUAAUGUGAGCGCAAUUUUGUGAAAGCAGAAGUUCCUUCGGGACGCGAAACAAGGUGCUGCAUGGUUGUCGUCAGCUCGUGCCGUGAGGUGUUGGCUUAAGUGCCGCAACGAGCGCAACCCCUAUUGUUAGUUGCCAUCAUUAAGUUGGGGACUCUAGCAAGACUGCCGGCGUAAGCCGCGAGGAAGGUGGGGACGACGGUCAAAUCAUCAUGGCCUUUAUGCCUAGGGCGACACACGUGCUACAAUGGUGCAUACAGAGGGUAGCGAAGCUGCGAAGUGGAGCCAAUCUCAGAAAGUGCAUCCC